ACUCCUACGGGAGGCAGCAGUAGGGAAUCUUCCACAAUGGGCGCAAGCCUGAUGGAGCAACACCGCGUAAGUGAAGAAGGGUUUCGGCUCGUAAAGCUCUGUUGUUAAAGAAGAACACGUAUGAGAGUAACUGUUCAUACGUUGACGGUAUUUAACCAGAAAGUCACGGCUAACUACGUGCCAGCAGCCGCGGUAAUACGUAGGUGGCAAGCGUUAUCCGGAUUUAUUGGGGCGUAAAGAGAGUGCAGGCGGUUUUCUAAGUCUGAUGUGAAAGCCUUCGGCUUAACCGGAGAAGUGCAUCGGAAACUGGAUAACUUGAGUGCAGAAGAGGGUAGUGGAACUCCAUGUGUAGCGGUGGAAUGCGUAGAUAUAUGGAAGAACACCAGUGGCGAAGGCGGCUACCUGGUCUGCAACUGACGCUGAGACUCGAAAGCAUGGGUAGCGAACAGGAUUAGAUACCCUGGUAGGAUAGCG
rnacentral:rRNA from 1 species